AACGAACGCUGGCGGCAUGCCUAACACAUGCAAGUCGAACGAAGCCUUCGGGCUUAGUGGCGCACGGGUGCGUAACGCGUGGGAACCUGCCUUUAGGUUCGGAAUAACACAGAGAAAUUUGUGCUAAUACCGGAUGAUGUCUUCGGACCAAAGAUUUAUCGCCUUUAGAUGGGCCCGCGUUGGAUUAGCUAGUUGGUGGGGUAAAGGCCUACCAAGGCGACGAUCCAUAGCUGGUCUGAGAGGAUGAUCAGCCACACUGGGACUGAGACACGGCCCAGACUCCUACGGGAGGCAGCAGUGGGGAAUAUUGGACAAUGGGGGAAACCCUGAUCCAGCAAUGCCGCGUGAGUGAUGAAGGCCUUAGGGUUGUAAAGCUCUUUUACCAGGGAUGAUAAUGACAGUACCUGGAGAAUAAGCUCCGGCUAACUCCGUG
rnacentral:rRNA from 1 species